rnacentral:lncRNA from 1 species
UUCUCCAAGAUGUGAGGAUAUUUGUCUUUCAACCCGUUCAGGCUCAGUUGCUUCUCGGACAGUAGUUUCCUUUUUACAACCCCUUCUUUGUACUUCUCUCGUGACCCAUCUAUUCCCUAUUGGAGAUGGAAAUCAGGCCCAUGAUUCCUCCUCGCCUGAGCUACCAAAUCAACUUCGGGUAGGAUAAACUCAUCAUCAGACUUGAAGGGCCUUGGUGCUACUGAUUCUAUUCUUUGUCGCUUAGACUUUGGUUUGGAUGAGGGCUUUGGUAGAGUAUACUUUUGUCUGGGAGCCAUAUCUCCACAAGGGUGAAGUGUGAGUGAUGACAUCAAUACAUUGGGAAAAGAUAUAGAAAAAUUAAGAGGAAAAACUCAAAAUGUGGUAUACUCUGCGGUCGCAAAUCCACAAUGCGGACCGCAUAGUCACCGAAGACCCCAAAAUUUGGUCAAUCUGCGAUGGUCUAUUCAAUCGCAUAACCAUUAUGCGGACC